rnacentral:rRNA from 1 species
UACGGGGGGAGCAGACGUUGUUCGGAAUCACUGGGCGUAAAGGGCGUGUAGGCGGCUGGAUAAGUGGGAUGUUAAAUCCCCCGGCUCAACCGGGGACCUGCAUCUCAUACUGUUCAGCUCGAGCACAUCAGAGGAGACUGGAAUUCCCGGUGUAGCGGUGAAAUGCGUAGAUAUCAGGAGGAACACCGGUGGCGAAGGCGGUUCUCUAGUACGGUACUGACGCUGAGACGCGAAAGCGUGGGGAGGCGAACAGG